AUUGAACGCUGGCGGCAGGCCUAACACAUGCAAGUCGAACGAGUGGCGGACGGGUGAGUAAUGUCUGGGAAACUGCCCGAUGGAGGGGGAUAACUAAUGGAAACGGUAGAUAAUACCGCAUACCAUCGGAUGUGCCCAGAUGGGAGUAGCGAGUAGGUGGUGUAACGGCUCACCUAGGCGACGAUCCCUAGCUGGUCUGAGAGGAUGACCAGCCUCACUGGAACUGAGCCACGUUCCAGACUCCGACGGGAGUCAGCAGUGGGGAAUAUUGCACAAUUGGCGCAAGCCUGAUGCAGCCAUGCCGCGUGUAUGAAGAAGGCCUUCGGUUUGUAAAGUACUUUCAGCGAGGAGGCGUUACUCGCAGAAGAAGCACCGGCUAACUCCGUGCCAGCAGCCGCGGUAAUUC
rnacentral:rRNA from 1 species